CAGCAGCCGCGGUAAUACGAAGGGUGCAAGCGUUACUCGGAAUUACUGGGCGUAAAGCGUGCGUAGGUGGUGGUUUAAGUCCGUUGUGAAAGCCCUGGGCUCAACCUGGGAAUUGCAGUGGAUACUGGGUCACUAGAGUGUGGUAGAGGAUAGUGGAAUUUCCGGUGUAGCAGUGAAAUGCGUAGAGAUCGGAAGGAACAUCUGUGGCGAAGGCGACUAUCUGGGCCAACACUGACACUGAGGCACGAAAGCGUGGGGAGCAAACAGGAUUAGAUACCCGGGUAGUCCCUGUCUCUUAUAC
rnacentral:rRNA from 1 species